UACGUAGGGUGCAAGCGUUGUCCGGAAUUAUUGGGCGUAAAGAGCUCGUAGGCGGUCUGUCGCGUCGGCUGUGAAAACCCGAGGCUCAACCUCGGGCCUGCAGUCGAUACGGGCAAACUGGAGUGUUGCAGGGGAGACUGGAAUUCCCGGUGUAGCGGUGAAAUGCGCAGAUAUCAGGAGGAACACCGGUGGCGAAGGCGGGUCUCUGGGCAACAACUGACGCUGAGGAGCGAAAGCGUGGGGAGCGAACAGG
rnacentral:rRNA from 1 species